rnacentral:rRNA from 1 species
CAGCAGUAGCCGCGGUAAUACAGAGGGUGCGAGCGUUAAUCGGAUUUACUGGGCGUAAAGCGUGCGUAGGCGGCUUUUUAAGUCGGAUGUGAAAUCCCUGAGCUUAACUUAGGAAUUGCAUUCGAUACUGGGAAGCUAGAGUAUGGGAGAGGAUGGUAGAAUUCCAGGUGUAGCGGUGAAAUGCGUAGAGAUCUGGAGGAAUACCGAUGGCGAAGGCAGCCAUCUGGCCUAAUACUGACGCUGAGGUACGAAAGCAUGGGGAGCAAACAGGAUUAGAGACCCGCGUAGUCCCUGUCUCUUAUAC